UGCUGGCCCCCGGCACCCGCCCGCCUCACAGGCACCUGCCGCCCGUCUCAACCCCGGGCCAGGGUGCACCGCAGCUGGCUCGAGCUCACAUCUCCGGGGUCCGAGACGGGCGCUGCGGGGAGGGCAGCGGCGCGCCGGGUCUCACACUUUCCGCCAGACCGAACCUCCUGGAGACCCGGCUGGUUGAGGUAGCUGAAGGAAUAUAAACUGAAUGAUGGUAUAUGGCUUCCAGGAAAAAAGUUCUUCAAGAAGGAUGCAGAAACUUCCCUUCUUCCUAGUGUUCUGCGGGCUGGAAGGCCAAGAUCAAGAUACCAGCAUGCUUGGGUGCAGAGAGAGGGUCUCCCCCUGGCUUAUAGGCCAUCUCUCUAUGUCUUCACAUGGCGGCUCCUCUGUGCACGCUCAUGGAGAGACCUGUCUGCCUCCUCUUGUUUCCUUGAGGCAGAGGACGUUUCUCACCAAAUUCCACAGCAACCGUGCUUUCCCUGGCAAAAGGAAUGCUUAUGACUUCCGAAGAUCAUGCUGCGAGGACCAGUGCAGGGCCUUCUCCCUGCCUUCCACCACCAUCCCACAGUGGAGACAGCAUCUCUCCCCCAGGACUCUUCCUGUUACCCUCCAGGCCAUGACUGGCCUGGUUUUGUCUCAGGGAAGGGGCCAACAUGCGUGCACUUUUGUCAUGUCUAACUCCAGGCAGUAGAGCCUUCCAACCCCGCAGUAGAGCAAGCCAGGUAGAUUUCCUUCAGGCCUCAGAGCCAGACUAUUUCCAAGUUUAGCUAGAGGUGUUCAUUCACCCCGUGACUAACAGUUGCUGUAGUUAGCAAACUAAAAUGUAAGAGGCCCAGCUGAAUUUGUUUUGGAUAGAUGUUAGUAUAAGAAUAUUCCACAA